GGCACUGUGAUCAUGGCGAGCUCUAAAAUGCGGUCUACAUUUUGAUAGCAUUUGAAAAAGUCAACAGCAGUUUCCAGCACUGAAAGGACUGUGUGCAAAGUCUUCACCUGAGAAGAAAAGGUCAGUCUCCUCCAAGUUGCUGCUACCACACUUCCUCCCAGGUCCACUCCCAGGUUGCUUCUGCCUGUCUCAUACAGGAAGCAAAUCUCUACAAGCGAUGAAGCAGUUUAACAACAUGUCGAGUAAUACUUCUGCUACCAUAAGUAGUGUUCGUUGACUUUUCAAGGCUGUCAACACUCAUCACAUAUGUAGCCCUGUCCUGUCAUUAACUCCUCUAACAGUUGAUAACUUGUGCUGUUAUUCAUGGUUUUGUACUAUGUACAUCACACUCUGACCUCCUAGGUAUCCCGCUACCCUCUACCCUCCCAGUGAAUAGGAUGCAGUGUGUCUGUACCCUUACAUAAGAUGUGACAUGAGGUGAAACCAUAUGAAAAGAAAACUACAGGUGAUACCAUUUUCUUUUAGUUGUUUCUCCCCAAAGGGAGAGAAAAAAAUGCUUACCAGAGGUUCCCUUGGGUAGAAAUGUUGUGCCAGGAAGUCCACCACUUCCUGUGAUUCUUCUUUCUUCAGGAUGGAGUACUUCAGGGCAUCUGAGUCCACCAUAUUGUAUUCUGGAGAGAGAAAUAGAGAAUUAUGGAGAGCAGUAAGGUUUAUGCAGGAUGUAUAUGUGAAGUAUUUGUCUGGUUAGGGAGAGAUGAGGGUAGUGUGUAAAGGAGAUAAUGAAGGCACCAUAAUAAUAUAUGAUUUAUCUUUUUAGUGAAGUGGAAAAAUUAUGUAAAGAUUGCAUUGUAAUGAUAUUUUAUCUCACAGCAUUGUAUUUGCUGAAGCAAAUAAAUGAUUGAAUUAA